CUGGAUCACUGUUGUAAAAUAGUUUACGCAAAUACUUAGGACAAUAUUCCACAACUUUUGAUUCACGACAUGUCUCUGGUAACUACAUUUUACUUGAGCGUACUUAUCGGUUGCAUUUUCUUCAUCUGGCCUUCGGAUGCAGGUUGUUCUACCGUCUGCUACCCAAUGAUGGCAUGUGAUGACGUUUAUAACAACGUGAAUUGCCGUAUCCAGCAAAAUUGUAUGCAAAAGUGCUCCCCGGACUAUAAUUACACUUAAAUCGAGAAUGAAGAAAUUACUAUAAAAUUGUAAAAGAGUAGCAAUAAUGUAUAGUAAUGUAAUAAGCAAACGCGAUGACUGACUGGGGUGAAAUGAAAUAAAGUGAAGUAAUAUGGCUGGCGAUAUAAAUACUUAAAUAUAAAGAGAAUUAACUUAUGAAUUCAAGUUUAGUAACCCGUCUAUAUAUAUGGGUGGGUUUGGGGUACGUUAACCCGUCCGGGGUAAUGUGCUAUCCCAGCGCCAAGUUCAACUGGUAACACACCACCACACACAUAACUAUCCAAUUUUGAGUAUUGAUAACUCGUUGAAGCUACUUCUGUAUGUGCGUUUGAUCCGAUUAGUUAGCUUACGAUUAGCAUGUAAAUUAUUUGGGAUCUUUUUUAAUUUUGCACCUAAGUAAUCUUCGCUACAAACUGAUUUUCUUCCGUUAGCGACAAAAAACUUUCAUUUAAUAAACAUUAAAAAACAUGAUUUGUGAAAUUUCGAGAAUCAGAUCAACUCUCGACCGUCGGGAGACGGGCUUACCCGCUAGUAAGUAUUCUUGUAGAGGUGCAACCAAUCCUUGUUUAAGGAUUGGUUGCACGUAUAAAUACACAUAAUACCCAUUGCACUUAAUAACACAGAUGUAUAUAUUUAAUAAAUAGAUACAUCUGUAAUUAAAAAUUAUGUACAGAUACCAUAAAAGGUUAUACCGCAUCAGUUAUAAGUUCGUCGAUCUGGAAUUACUAAUUGGGAACUGGAACGUGCAAAAUAAUAAAAUUUCCAUCAUGUCACGAUUGUCACGCGACACUGGAAUUUCACAAUCACUCACUCAUGUCACUCAAGUGUACUCAAGUUAUCACAGAUUUAAUUACGAUUCCCUGUUUUCUUUAUCAAAUUGGUAAAUAAUUGUGAACUUUAAUCUUACAUUAUACGAUGGGUGUAGCUACAUACGUAAGUACUUGAACGUGGCCCAAUAUAAAGGAUUCUCGAUCGCACGACAACGUACAUAAUUAGCAGAUUGAAUUUGCUUUAACCGUUUCAAAAUGAUGUCGGUAAAAACCCAGGUAUUUCUGGCAGCAAUAAUUUGCUCCAUUUUGUCGGCCACGUUAACCAACGCGGCAUCCAUGUCGAUUGAAGUGGAUGAGACGGUAGGAGCCAAGGAAGUCCAGCGAUCCUGCGGUCCAGGAAUUGUACAAUGUGUUCCAUUCACUAAUGUGUCGCAUUGCUGUGAUUUAUGUACUUAUUCGAUAUUUGGUUUCAUUUGCGCGUACAACCAGUAAUGUAAUCUGGGUUAAAAUUUAUGUGAUGAAUAAAGUGUAAAUUGUAAAUAUCCGA